AGAUCGUUAUGACUUAGAUCUUGACAAGAUUUGAGAGCCACAAAGUCAACAUUGAGGAAGAAAACUUGUUAGAUGGUCUAAACAAGGAUUUAGUGGGAGCUGUUCAUGAUCUUAUUGGUACUGAUGCACUACUUAGAGCGUCAGACACAUCCAAUAAGAGCAGUAUUGAAGAUUAUGCAGAAAUGCAAGAUUCUUCAAUACGGGGGGGAGAUGUGACAUUGGAUGUCGAAGAUUCUUCAUCAUGAUAUAACAUACCAACUUCCUCAAGUUCAGAAUAACGAAGAGCCUGC
rnacentral:lncRNA from 1 species